AUUCCAGCUCCAAUAGCGUAUAUUAAAGUUGUUGCAGUUAAAAAGCUCGUAGUUGGAUUUCUGGUCACACAAAACUGGCCUGCUUCCUCAAGGAAGUGUGCGCCGGCGUUUGUGUACCAUCCUUCUAGAAAUCGUUUCACAUUCCUUUACUGGGAUGGGCUCGUGAUCUAGAUCUUUUACUUUGAAGAAAUUAGAGUGUUCAAAGCAGGCUUACGCUAUGAAUACAUUAGCAUGGAAUAAUAAUUUAGGACUUGGUAUCCUAUUUUGUUGGUUUUCGGGAUCUAAGUAAUGAUUGAUAGGGAUAGUUGGGGGUGCUAGUAUUCAGCGGCCAGAGGUGAAAUUCUAUGAUUCGCUGAAGACUAACUUAUGCGAAAGCAUUCACCAAGGAUGUCUUCAUUG
rnacentral:rRNA from 1 species